rnacentral:lncRNA from 1 species
CUCUUUAGUUGAUUUUGUGAUAUUGAAAUCACCUCCAAUAACCCAUGCACCUAUAAACAGAGAUCAGAUAACUCUGAAUUCAUCAAAGAAAAUUGCCUCUUAGAUCUAUUAUUUGGGUCAUACAUCGAUGUGACUGUGAGGUGCUUUCUUAGAUGGUUGCAAAAUAACUCGAUAGUAAUUAAAAAUUCUUUUAUUCCGAGAUCAAUUAAGAGAGUAUAGAUUCAUGUUCUAUCCUAAUGGAACACCAUCAAUAGAUUGGCCGCAUAAAGAACCAACCAAUCAAAAAUUUUCCACCACCAAGUGAGCAAAGAAGUCAGUCUAAAGGGCUUAAAAGUUUUUAUUCUUGAAUUAAAAUAAUAUUAUAACUGCUGGAAAUUAUUAAAGCUCGAAUUACCCAUCUCUUUGCAGGAGUAGUGUUGAAGCACUUCUUUUGGGCAUGGAGAUCUAGAGAUCAGCAAGGAACCAAAAUAGGAAGGGGACAGUAGCCUUUGGAGGUGCACAAAACUUUCUAGCACUUCGGUUUUGGGUGCUAGAUGGAGGUGGCGGCUAGGGUUUCUAGGGUUUGGAGGCAGCA